rnacentral:rRNA from 1 species
GACGAACGCUGGCGGCGUGCUUAACACAUGCAAGUCGAACGGUAAGGCCCUUCGGGGUACACGAGUGGCGAACGGGUGAGUAACACGUGGGUGAUCUGCCCUGCACUUCGGGAUAAGCCUGGGAAACUGGGUCUAAUACCGGAUAGGACCACUGCCUGCAUGGGUGGUGGUGGAAAGCUUUUGCGGUGUGGGAUGGGCCCGCGGCCUAUCAGCUUGUUGGUGGGGGGAUGGCCUACCAAGGCGACGACGGGUAGCCGGCCUGAGAGGGUGACCGGCCAAACUGGGACUGAGAUACUGCCCAGACUCCUACGGGAGGCAGCAGUGGGGAAUAUUGCACAAUGGGCGCAAGCCUGAUGCGGCGACGCCGCGUGAGGGAUGACGGCCUUCGGGUUGUAAACCUCUUUCAGCACCGACGAAGCGCAAGUGACGGUAGGUGCAGAAGAAGGACCGGCCAACUACGUGCCAGCAGCCGCCGUAAAAC